UAUGAAGAACGUAGCGAAACGCGAUAGUUAAUGUGAAUUGCAGAAUUCAGUGAAUCAUCGAGUCUUUGAACGCACAUUGCGCCCAUUGGUAUUCCUUUGGGCAUGUCUGUUUGAGCGUCAUUACAAUCCUCAGCUAACCGCUGGUUUUGAACCCGAACGGGGUGAUACCUGCGCCGGUUUUAAAGUUGUAAGCUCUGCUGGCCGCUCUGCCCCAACCAGAACAUAGUAAGCACUACUUGUCCAGGUGAAGCUGAACGGUACGGCCUGAACAAAACCUACCCACUUCUAAGGUUUGACCUCAGAUCAGACAAGGAUACCCGCUGAACUUAAGCAUAUCAAUAAGCGGAGGA
rnacentral:misc_RNA from 1 species